GUCUACUGCCAUACCACCCUGAUCCUGGAAGCUAAGCAGGGUCAAGUCCAGCUAGGACCUGGAUGGGAGACUGUCUGGGAAUACCGGAAGUGGUGGGCU
ensembl:rRNA 5S_rRNA 5S ribosomal RNA